AUUGCCCCGUGGAGACGUAAAUACAACUGCGGUGUUGUCUUUAUGCCAGAAGGAGGCAGACAGGAAGCAUUGGCCGCUUUGAGUCUAGAUCCUUAAGGAAUGGAUGCAGACAUUUACUGCGGCUAAACAAU
rnacentral:snoRNA from 1 species